CGUAGCCACGGUAAUACGUAGGGUGCGAGCGUUAAUCGGAAUUACUGGGCGUAAAGCGUGCGCAGGCGGUUUUGUAAGACAGGCGUGAAAUCCCCGGGCUCAACCUGGGAAUGGCGCUUGUGACUGCAAAGCUAGAGUGCGGCAGAGGGGGAUGGAAUUCCGCGUGUAGCAGUGAAAUGCGUAGAUAUGCGGAGGAACACCGAUGGCGAAGGCAAUCCCCUGGGCCUGCACUGACGCUCAUGCACGAAAGCGUGGGGAGCAAACAGGAUUAGAUACCCCAGUAGUCCCUGUCUCUUAUAAA
rnacentral:rRNA from 1 species